rnacentral:snRNA from 1 species
GGGAGGUGGCCCAUUUACUAAUAUUGGAAAGAAAAAGAAUCAGCAUGGCCUUUGGGCAGGUAUGACCUGCACAUUAGUGAAGUGUUCCAAAUUUAA